GGUGUGUACUGGUCUUGAUGGAAGCUUACCUCUUGGUGGGUCGGCAUGCCCUUCGUUGGGUGUGUCGAUUAACCAGGACUUUUACUUUGAGAAAAUUAGAGUGUUCAAAGCAGGCUUUCGCCCGAAUACAUUAGCAUGGAAUAAUAGAAUAGGACGCGCGUCUUUAUUUUGUUGGUUUCUAAAUUCGCCGUAAUGAUUAAUAGGGAUAGUCGGGGGCAUUCGUAUUGCUUGGUCAGAGGUGAAAUUCUUGGAUUCUAGCAAGACGAACUACUGCGAAAGCAUUUGCCAAGGAUGUUUUCAUUGAUCAAGAACGAAGGUUAGGGGGAUCGAAAACGAUCAGAUACCGUUGUAGUCUUAACAGUAAACUAUGCCGACUAGGGAUCGGACAAGCACAAUCUAUGACUUGUUCGGCACCUGAAGAGAAAUCUUUAAGUCUAGGUUCGGGGGGGAGUAUGGUCGCAAGGCUGAAACUUAAAGGAAUUGACGGAAGGGCACCACCAGGUGUGGAGCCUGCGGCUUAAUUUGACUCAACACGGGGAAACUCACCAGGUCCAGACACAAUAAGGAUUGACAGAUUGAUAGCUCUUUCUUGAUCUUGUGGUUGGUGGUGCAUGGCCGUUCUUAGUUGGUGGAGUGAUUUGUCUGGUUAAUUCCGAUAACGAACGAGACCUUAACCUGCUAAAUAGACCCGGGGCCUUAGGGAACCGGCUGUCUUCUUAGAGGGACUGUAGG
rnacentral:rRNA from 1 species